rnacentral:lncRNA from 1 species
CCCUGUGUGCUUGGUUCUUGUGUUGUUGAUGCAUUUGUAUUGGAUAUUGUGUUCAGUGAUGUCACUCUCAUGCUCGAAGUAGAUGGGCGAAUAUACACAUUUCCACUACUGGCAGUGAAAACUCCAAGGCCCUGUUUUGCAAAAGCCCUCUCCUUGUGUAUGGUACUCUUCAUUAGUUUGGUAGAACUCUCCUUGUUCUUUGAGGUGGAUAUCUCUUUUGGUUUGGCAGGUCUUCCCCUUUUCCUCUGAUUAACAUAUGAAUCACAUGCUUAGAUUAUGAAUAUUCCCAAAAUAUAUGUAUGCAUAAAAUGAAAUCAUAACAUUAGACAUACCUUUUUUGGAGAUUCUUUCUGCACUUGUUGAUUUUUACAUCCUCUGCUAUUAUGUCCUUUCCCUUGACAGUUGCUGCAAGUCAUAAUUACACCAUGCUUUGUGAGUUUCCC